UACGUAGGGGCCGAGCGUUGUCCGGAUUCAUUGGGCGUAAAGAGCGUGUAGGCGGCCAAGUAGGUCCGUUGUGAAAACUGGAGGCUUAACCUCCAGCUGUCGAUGGAAACCAUUUGGCUAGAGUCCGGAAGAGGAGAGUGGAAUUCCGUGGUGUAGCGGUGAAAUGCGCAGAUAUCAGGAGGAACACCAAUAGCGAAGGCAGCUCGCUGGGACGGUACUGACGCUAAGGCGCGAAAGCGUGGGGAGCGAACAGG
rnacentral:rRNA from 1 species